rnacentral:rRNA from 1 species
GAUGAACGCUGGCGGCGUGCUUAACACAUGCAAGUCGAACGGAAAGGCUCCUGCUUGCAGGGGUACUCGAGUGGCGAACGGGUGAGUAACACGUGGGUGAUCUGCCCUGCACUUCGGGAUAAGCCUGGGAAACUGGGUCUAAUACCGGAUAGGACCACAUUUUGGAUGGUGUGGUGGAAAGUUUUUCGGUGUGGGAUGAGCUCGCGGCCUAUCAGCUUGUUGGUGGGGUAAUGGCCUACCAAGGCGUCGACGGGUAGCCGGCCUGAGAGGGUGACCGGCCAUGUGGGGACUGAAAGACGGCCCAUCCCCAUACGGGGGGCAGCAGGGGGGAAUAUUGCACAAUGGGCGCAACCCGGAUGCAGCGACGCCGGGGGGGGAAGAGCGGCCUUCGGUUUUUAAACUCCUUUCGCUAGGGAAGAAGGUAAAGUCAGGGUCCGUGGAAGAGAAACCCGGGCAAACUCGGUG